rnacentral:misc_RNA from 1 species
UUUUCGUAGGUGAACCUGCGGAAGGAUCAUUAGUGAAUCAUUAAACUUGGUGCCUGUUCGAAUUCACACUUCGUUCAGCCCAUUUUUAUUACACUAUUUCACACACACUUUGUGCACUCGUACACUUUUUUAAACACUUUGUGUUUUUUAUACAAGUUGAUGUGUCUGUUUUUAUGUUAAAUACAAUAAAAACUUUCAGCAAUGGAUCUCUUGGCUCUCGCAUCGAUGAAGAACGCAGC